rnacentral:misc_RNA from 1 species
AUGAACAACUUCACUCUUUUGGAAUUUUUCAUAGUAUAUUCUAACAGAUUCACUGGUCAAUUACCACAAGACAUAUGCGUUGGUGGACGAAUUAAGUCUUUUGCAAUUAAUGGAAAUAAUUUCUCGGGUCCCAUCCCAAGAAGCCUUAGAAACUGUAGCCGCUUAAUGAGACUCCAUCUGGAGAGAAACCAAAUCACUGGAAAUGUAUCUGAAGAUUUUGGCAUAUAUCCAAAGUUGAACUAUAUGGAUUUGAGUGAUAACAAAUUUUAUGGUGAGCUUUCAUUGAAAUGGGAAGAUUUCAGCAACUUGUCUACCCUGAAAAUCUCUAACAAUAAUAUCUCUGGCACAAUACCAGCUGAACUUGGAAAUGCAAGUCAAUUGCAUUCACUUGACCUCUCAUCAAAUCAGCUGGUGGGGAAGAUUCCAAAGGAAUUGGGG